AUACGUUGGGGGCAAGCGUUGUCCGGAAUUACUGGGCGUAAAGAGCUCGUAGGCGGCUCAGCAAGUCGGUCGUGAAAGCCCGAGGCUCAACCUCGGAACUGCGGUCGAUACUGCUGUGGCUAGAGUCCGGUAGAGGAGAGUGGAAUUCCCGGUGUAGCGGUGGAAUGCGCAGAUAUCGGGAGGAACACCAGUGGCGAAGGCGGCUCUCUGGGCCGGUACUGACGCUGAGGAGCGAAAGCGUGGGGAGCAAACAGGAUUAGAAACCCCAGUAGUCC
rnacentral:rRNA from 1 species